UCACACAUCUUCCGGUUUGGAAAGGGGAAUGAUGUCAGUCACAAGUAAACCUGGGUCGCAUGUGCCAAUCACUUGUGAUUUUAAUGAAGCAAGUAAUUAUAUCCACUGGUACCAGUUCAAAGAGGGGCAGGCUCCACGACACAUUCUCUACUACAACUUUUUACAAUCCAAGGUUGUAGUGUCCUCAGGAAUCAUUUCAGGGAAAUAUAAUGCUAAUAAAGGACCAGAUGGAAGAUGUACAUUUGUAGUACAAAAUGUGGAAGAAAGUGACUCUGCUGUCUAUUACUGCGCCUACUGGACUAGCACAGUGGUUCAGACCUUCCUUUA
rnacentral:lncRNA from 1 species